UCAUUAGCUCAGCUGGUAGAGCAGCAGACUCUUAAUCUGAAGGUCCGGGGUUCGAAACCCC
rnacentral:tRNA from 1 species